GGAAUCACUGCUAGGUUCUCAAGGAACCCCAGUGUUCUCUGGAAUAUAAUUUAAAAUAUGGGAAGGGACCUUGAGACACAGUUGUGAAGUAACUAGGGAUGUACAAGGUUUCAGCUUUCAGAUGUGGAACACUACACAAAGACAAGCAGUGAUAAAUCAUGAGUUCAAGUAUGAAACACAAUAGUUCAUUGUGCUAUUUUCUGUGACAAAGCAAUGAGCAGAUGCAGACCUACCCUUAGGUAACUUCUUUUCCUCUUCAGGUUCCUCUGGGUCAUUUAAAAUGACAAAUUCUGGAGAUUCCUUUAUAAAUCUGCAGUCACUCACUUCCUACCAGAACUCGCCAGUGGGAGCCAAUGUGCAGUCACAGAUGGAUUCCUUACACCAUGUCAUACACCAGGCAGGAAGAUAUGACAGUAUUGUGGGGAAUCCUUUAUAUUCGACGCAGCGCAUUGACGCAAAUGGCAGCUGGCAGG